CUUCCCCCUGCCAGCGUCACUUUUUAAGCCGCCCAGCAGUGUGUCUCCACAUCUCAUUUUUCACUUCAUUCUCUGCGGUGCCUAAAACUUCUCCACAAUGAGCUUCAAAAGAUCCAGCGUGAUGCAGACCCGCUCCCAGCCCCAGCACCGUGCUUUCAGCAUUUCUGGCGGUGCUGGAGGAUAUGGCUCCCGCAUCUCCUCUGUGGCCUCACCGUCCCUGCGGUCUGGUGCCCCUAUGACCUCUUCAUCUUCCUUCAAGCUGAGCAGUGGAAUGGGUGGUGGUAUGGGUGGUGGUAUGGGUGGUGGUAUGGGCUCAGGUUUUGGUGGUGCCGGUGCAUCCAAGGCUGGUGGUGGUGGCGGUGCCGGUGCUGGGAUCAUUGGCAACGAGAGGGGAGCCAUGCAGAACCUGAACGACCGCCUGGCCAACUACCUGGAGACGGUGAGGAACCUGGAACAGGCCAACCAGGAGCUGGAGAUGAAGAUCAUGGAGGCUAUGGAGAAGGGAGGGCCCAGCUCGAGAGACUACAGCAAGUACGAACCCAUCAUCGAGGACCUACGCAGACAGAUCUUCGAUAAGAUUUUGGAGAACGCUCGCUUUGUGCUCCAGAUCGACAAUGCCCGUCUUGCUGCUGACGACUUCAAAGUGAAGUUCGACAAUGAGAUGGCAAUCCGCCAGUCUGUGGAGGCCGAUAUCGCUGGGCUGAAGAGAGUCAUAGAUGACACCAACAUGACCAGGAUGAACAUCGAGAGUGAGAUUGAGAACGUGAGGGAGGAGCUCGCCUUCCUGAAGAAGAACCAUGAGAACGAAGUGAUGGAGCUGAGGAAUCAGAUCUCGCAGUCAGGCGUGCAAGUGGACGUUGACGCUCCCAAAGGUCAGGACCUGGCCCAGGUCAUGCAGGACGUGAGGGGCAACUAUGAGAAGAUCGCCGUGAAGAACGCAGAAGACCUCAAACGGUGGCAUGAAAAUCAGAUUGCAGAUGUGCAGGUGGAGGUAUCGCAGAACACAGAAGCUCUCCAGGGAGCCCAAACGGAGAAGAGUGACCUAUCCAGACAGUUACAGACCCUGGAAAUUGAACUUGCAUCACAACAGAGCUUAAGAGCCUCCUUAGAGGACACACUACGCAACACAGAGCACCGAAACAACAUGGAAAUGGAGAGGUACAACACCAUCAUUAUGCGCCUGGAGGAGGAGCUGACCAACUUGCGUGCAAACAUCCAGCAGCAGACCCAAGACUACGAGGCGCUGCUCAACAUGAAGAUGAAACUGGAAGCCGAGAUUGCCACUUACAAGAGCCUGCUGGAUGGUGAUGACUUCAAGUAAGAGUUAGGUGUUGGAGAAAAGAAACAGAUCCAAGCAAGGUGUUGAUGGUGGUGGAGGCUCCAGGAUGCCCUGGGUGAGCUGGCAGCCACAAGCUAAUUUGGAACAAAGAAUCUGGGUCCAUCCCAACAUCGAAAGCAGAAAAAGCCACAACUAUUCAUUAUGGAAAACAUUCCAUGCUGGUCCAAUCAGCUAAAGCCAGUUUUGAACCAAAACCACAUUCUGUGUAAGCCAUAAAUGAGUUAAGCAAUUCUGAGUAAAGGCACCGCAGUGAAACAGGCAGGCUAUUUGAAAAGCAACCGUUGCCUGACCUGAAAGCAAAAUAAAAAUGAAUAAAACCACAUGUUGACACACA